GAUGUUAUGUUCAUUUUGGGCUGAAACUGGAAUGAUACAGAGAAGACAGACAUCGAUCGUGAGUAAGGGUGACACGCACAUUUGUGAAACCUUCCAUAUUCUU